rnacentral:rRNA from 1 species
UACGUAGGGUCCGAGCGUUGUCCGGAAUUAUUGGGCGUAAAGAGCUCGUAGGCGGUUUGUCGCGUCUGCUGUGAAAUCCCGAGGCUCAACCUCGGGUCUGCAGUGGGUACGGGCAGACUGGAGUGCGGUAGGGGAGAAUGGAAUUCCUGGUGUAGCGGUGGAAUGCGCAGAUAUCAGGAGGAACACCGGUGGCGAAGGCGGGGUCCUGGGCCAGUACUGACGCUGAGGAGCGAAAGCGUGGGGAGCAAACAGG